GCGGAACUGGCGGAAUUGGCAGACGCGCUAGAUUCAGGUUCUAGAGCCGCAAGGUGUCCGGGUUCAAGUCCCGGGUUCCGCA
rnacentral:tRNA from 1 species